AUUGAACGCUGGCGGCAUGCCUUACACAUGCAAGUCGAACGGUAACAGGUCUUCGGAUGCUGACGAGUGGCGAACGGGUGAGUAAUACAUCGGAACGUGCCCGAUCGUGGGGGAUAACGCAGCGAAAGCUGUGCUAAUACCGCAUACGAUCUACGGAUGAAAGCGGGGGAUCGCAAGACCUCGCGCGGACGGAGCGGCCGAUGGCAGAUUAGGUAGUUGGUGGGAUAAAAGCUUACCAAGCCGACGAUCUGUAGCUGGUCUGAGAGGACGACCAGCCACACUGGGACUGAGACACGGCCCAGACUCCUACGGGAGGCAGCAGUGGGGAAUUUUGGACAAUGGGCGCAAGCCUGAUCCAGCCAUGCCGCGUGCAGGAUGAAGGCCUUCGGUUGUAACUGCUUUGUACGGAACGAAAAAGACUCUCUCUAAUACAGGGGUGAAUGACGGUACCGUAAGAAUAAG
rnacentral:rRNA from 1 species